rnacentral:rRNA from 1 species
CUGAUGCAGCAACGCCGCGUGGAUGAUGACACUUUUCGGAGCGUAAACUCCUUUUAUAUAGGAAGAUAAUGACGGUACUAUAUGAAUAAGCACCGGCUAAUCCGUGCCAGCAGCCGCGGUAAUACGGAGGGUGCAAGCGUUACUCGGAAUCACUGGGCGUAAAGAGCGUGUAGGCGGAUAGAUAAGUUUGAAGUGAAAUCCUAUGGCUCAACCAUAGAACUGCUUUGAAAACUGUCUAUCUAGAAUAUGGGAGAGGUAGAUGGAAUUUCUGGUGUAGGGGUAAAAUCCGUAGAGAUCAGAAGGAAUACCGAUUGCGAAGGCGAUCUACUGGAACAUUAUUGACGCUGAGACGCGAAAGCGUGGGGAGCAAACAGGAUUAGAUACCCUGGUAGUCCACGCCCUAAACGAUGUACACUAGUUGUUGCUAUGCUAGACAUAGCAGUAAUGCAGUUAACACAUUAAGUGUACCGCCUGGGGAGUACGGUCGCAAGAUUAAAACUCAAAGGAAUAGACGGGGACCCGCACAAGCGGUGGAGCAUGUGGUUUAAUUCGACGAUACGCGAAGAACCUUACCUGGACUUGACAUUUACAGAACUUUCAAGAGAUUGAUUGGUGUCUGCUUGCAGAAACUGUAGGACAGGUGCUGCACGGCUGUCGUCAGCUCGUGUCGUGAGAUGUUGGGUUAAGUCCCGCAACGAGCGCAACCCACGUCGUUAGUUGCUAACAGUUCGGCUGAGAACUCUAACGAGACUGCCUACGCAAGUAGGAGGAAGGUGUGGACGACGUCAAGUCAUCAUGGCCCUUACGUCCAGGGCUACACACGUGCUACAAUGGGGUAUACAAAGAGCAGCGAUACCGCGAGGUGGAGCAAAUCUCAAAAAUAUCUCCCAGUUCGGAUAGUACUCUGCAACUCGAGUGCUUGAAGUUGGAAUCGCUAGUAAUCGUAGAUCAGCAAUGCUACGGUGAAUACGUUCCCGGGUCUUGUACUCACCGCCCGUCACACCAUGGGAGUUGAACUCAUUCGAAUGCG